rnacentral:tRNA from 1 species
GGAAGGUUGGGUGAGUGGCUUAAACCACCAGUUUGCUAAACUGACGUACGGGAAUUCCGUACCACUGGUUCGAAUCCAGUACCUUCCG